AGAGAGAGAAAAAAAAGAGAUAGAAACUGCAUGGAAAUUUGACCAAUCAUAUGCACGUAAAGUAAUUUUAGUUUCUUCGCUUCUGAUUGGCCGAGUCGCAAGCGCCACAGUGGAUUCGGAAGGUGAGAUAUUUGGCGAUGUUCGCGCUCGUUUAUGAUGUAUUGCGUAUUAUUAUUUGUGACGUCGGACAUUGUACAGUGCGGAUGUAAUAGCGAUCGAGCUUCGUAGAGUCGAAGAAAUCGUGCAUCGCAUCGAUCUCAAUUGUGUCACGGAACAAGUAGUUAAGCAGCAACAACAAUGCAUCAGUGGUGCAAUGGCAAUGCAGUGGCAGUGGCAAUCCAAGAGCAGUACAAUGACAACAGCAGUACUACGAUAGUGCAAUGGUCUGUGGUCCUCCGGACGCGCUGCUUGUCAUGAAUUCAAUAUAAGAUAAAUGUACUUGGCUCUCUGAUGAUAUUGUCUAAUUAUAAGAAAGCGUGAUAUUUAUGUAAAAUAUAAUUUUAUUAAUAAAAUUCAAAUCAGUGUGAUUCAUAGUAAAAGGCGUAUAAAUAUCAUCAGCAGUAUCCAGUGUGUGUUAUAAAUAUUUUUAAAUAUUAUUAAUAUGUAGUAUAAAUACAUUUAAUACGUACAUACAUGUGCGCGCGCGUAGUGACUCGCAAAAUUAAUCUAAUUUUUUGGAAAUUCCAUAAAAAUUUUUAAUAUAAAUGAAAAAAGAGAAAAGAGAAUAAACAUAGAAAAAAUAAUCUGCGUAGCUUGUUAUUAGAAGAAUGCGAAAAUUAACUUUGUAAAGUUAUAUGUAUAUAUAAUUUUUUUUUUAAUUUUGGAAGCACAGGAUCAAAUUUGUAAGUCAUUAUAUUACUUCACGUUUUAAUAUCGAGAAAGUUGUAAAGAAAAAUAAGUUUGUGUAAGUAAUGAGGUUUUUAGUAAAAAGGAA